ensembl:lncRNA ZNF790-AS1 ZNF790 antisense RNA 1
GGAAUCCCCGCAGGCGCUGGGUCUGCAGAUGGCGUCCAGGUACACAGUGGCGAGUGUGAUUCCGCAGUCUUGGGCUGUUUGGCCAAGCGCCCGCCGGACAUGGUACGCCGAAGGGUCAUCGGCGUGGAGUCCUCGCUUUCAGCGUCCGCGGCUGGGAAAUCGGCCAUCGCUACGGCGGGAACUGGGACUCGGGCUGCGUCCCGGCCCUUCCACAUCGGUCCACCGCACUCGUGGGCGCCCGCAUUGGUGCUGACAUAAUUUCCUGACCUCUGACCCGUAUUGUCUCGCGAUUAAAGGUCCAGAUUUGGAACAAAUCUCUCUAGAGAUUGAACAGAGCUGCGCCUGGAUCCCUCAGCAGUGAGGAGACCUGAAGACCAGAGGAAACACAGCAAGUAGGCCCUUUAAACCACUCACCUGUGUUGUCUUCCAAUUUAUUCUGUUUUAUUUUGUUUCCAUCAUUUUAAGGGGUUAAAAUCAUCUUGUUCAGACCUCAGCAUAUAAAAUGACCCAUCUGUAGACCUCAGGCUCCAACCAUACCCCAAGAGUUGUCUGGUUUUGUUUAAAUUACUGCCAGGUUUCAACUGCAGAUAUCCCUGGAAGGAAUAUUCCAGAUUCCCUGAGUAGUUUCCAGGUUAAAGUCUUAUAGGCUUCUUCUGUUUUGAGGAGGAGUUCCUGUCAGAGAAAAGCCUGAUUUGGAUUUUUAACUUUAAUGCCUGUGAAAUGCUAUAAAAAAUAAUUUUCUACCCCUAACAUUAAAGUACUGUUAGUGAGAAAUUAAAAUUCCCUCAGGAGGAUUAAACUGCCAUUUCAGUUACCUGAAUUCCAAAUGUUUUGGUUGUUAGAAUUUUCUUUAAUGUUCAUGAGGAAGUGUUUUAUAUUUUCUAUCAAGAUUAAUUCUCUUUUUUUUUUUUUUUAGACGGAGCCUUGCUCUGUUGCCCAGGCUGGUGUGUAGUGAUCUCAGCUCACUGCAAGCUCCACCUUCCGGGUUCACACCAUUCUCCCACCUCAACCCCCGGAGUAGCUGGAACUACAGCCUCCUGCCACCACGCCUGGCUAAUUUUUUUUUUGUAUUUUUAGUAGAGACGGGGUUUCACCAUGUUAGCUAGGAUGGUCUCGAUCUGCUGACCUCGUGAUCCACCCGCCUCGGCCUCUCAAAGUGCUGGGAUUAAAGGCGUAAGCCACUGCGCCUGGCUGUUUUUUCAUUUCUAUUAUGAUUUGUCCUGUGGAAUGUCAGUGACUUAGCGGUAUUUUUAUCACACGUUUAUAAAGCUGAAUAGUUUUGUAUGUCAGCUCAGCACCCUUAGUGUCAGCCAUGCUAGUCUCCUGCUGUGCAUAGAUCGAGGCCUGUCCAUACCCGAAUCUCCUGGGUUCCCACUGUCAGCACCUGAAGGUACCCACCAGAUGUGUCUGUCACUUCCCUACAUCCACCUCUAUUGUGGUUCUCAUGUUUCUGCCUCCCUAGAGACCAUUUCUCUGUAGAGCAGCGCUUUCGAAUAGAAAUACAAUGCCAGACACAUAAGUUGUUUUAGAUUUUCUAGUAGUCACUUUAGAAAAGUUAAAAAGAAACAGGUGAAAUUAAUGUUUUAUUUCACCUAAAAUGUUAGCAUUAUCCAAAAUAUCACUUCAACAUCUUAUCAAAAUAAAAUUAUUAAUGAGAUUGGUUACCGUUCCGAUAAAUAGGUGAACUGAGAGCAUACACAGUAGUAUUCUGUUCUAAUUUCUGCUUCACUGUGAGUGUCUUGACAUAGUCUUAAAAGAGUAUUGCUGUGAAAUAUUAUACAUGUAACUCAUAACCUCUACAAUUCUGCAGUUGUAAUUGGUUGUCUUACCUAAUAAUCAGUUGCUUUGCUUCAUAAUAUUUAAAUUGGCAUCUCUAUUUUCCAAAAGGCAUAAAUACUAGUAUAGUUUUUUAGUUAAGCCAGGAGAAAGUUCACUUUAUUUACAUAACUUAUACGUAAAAAUUUAAUAAAUCUCCCUGCUUCUUUUCUUUUGCAUCAUAACAACCACUGAAAAUAAUAUUUCUAUGGCAGUUGGGGGUAAAUGGACAAUAGCUUUUGUGACCAGAGGUGAAUGGCCCAGGGUCUCCAGCACUCCAGGUCCCACUGAGCCUGCCCCACAGCUGAGGGCAUCGGUAUUUCCACACACCUAUAAUGUACAGUGCCCCAGAACAGAGAUCGGAUGCUCUGCUUUAUUCAGAUGGGGUGUUGAGAGUAUUGUCAUUGUAAUUGAAUUAGUAAGUAAGUAUUUAUACACUGUUAAAAUCUGGUUGGAUUUGUGUCCCUUCACAAAACAAAUUGCUUAAAUGAAACCACAGAGUUAACAUAAUUGACUACAUCUGCUUCUAUGAGCUGCUGUUCUAACAUUUAACUAGAAUCUAAUUUGAAAUUAGUCAAUAAAAAGUUUAUUCAACUGAAUUAUAUUUAGACUUUUUGUUGUUGUUGUUGUUUUGAGAUGGAGUUUUGCUCUUGUAGCCCAGGCUGGAGUGCAAUGGCGCGAUCUUGGCUCACUGCAACCUCCUUCUCCCGGGUUCAGGCGAUUCUCCUGCCUCAACCUCCCGAGUAGGUGGGAUUACUGGUGCCUGCCACCACGCCCAGCGUGAAGCACUGCACCCGGCCUUCAUAGAUUAUUUUACUUUAUUUUAGUUACUUAUUUUUAUGACUUUAUUGUUAUAAAAAUGCUUGUUUUUAAAAAAAAUCAACCAGUAUAACAAAGAACAAAGAAGAUAAUCAACAAGCAUUCCCACCUCCAUGAUUUAGAAAUAACUGUCAUCAAUACAGGAAAAUACCAUGCCAUUCUUUCUCCUCUAGGCACAUGGACAGACAGAUAGAAGGAUGGGAAAAUAGAUAGAUGGUCCAGGCACAAUGGCUCACGCCUGUAAUCUCAGCACUUUGGGAGGCCAAGGCGUGUGGAUUACCUGAGGUCAGGAGUUUGAGACCAGCCUAGCCAACAUGGUGAAACCCCAUCUCUACU